CCCGCAUCACGCUGGCGGUAUGCUUACACAUGCAAGUCGAACGGUCUCUUCGGAGAUAGUGGCGGACGGGUUAGUAAGCGUGAGAAUCUAGCUUCAGGUCCGGGGACAACCCUGGAGAACGGUGGCUAAUACCGGAUGUGCCGAAAGGUGAAAAGAUUUAUUGCCUGAAGAUGAGCUCGCGUCUGAUUAGCUAGUUGGUGGUGUAAGAGCGCACCAAGGCGACGAUCAGUAGCUGGUCUGAGAGGAUGAUCAGCCACACUGGGACUGAGACACGGCCCAGACUCCUACGGGAGGCAGCAGUGGGAAUUUUCCGCA
rnacentral:rRNA from 1 species